rnacentral:rRNA from 1 species
AUUGAACGCUGUCGGCAGGCCUAACACAUGCAAGUCGAGCGGCAGCGGGAAAGUAGCUUGCUACUUUUGCCGGCGAGCGGCGGACGGGUGAGUAAUGCCUGGGGAUCUGCCCAGUCGAGGGGGAUAACUACUGGAAACGGUAGCUAAUACCGCAUACGCCCUACGGGGGAAAGCAGGGGGCCUUCGGGCCUUGCGCGAUUGGAUGAACCCAGGUGGGAUUAGCUAGUUGGUGAGGUAACGGCUCACCAAGGCGACGAUCCCUAGCUGGUCUGGGAGGAUGAUCGUCCACACUGGAACUGAGACGCGGUCAAGACUGCUACGGGAGGCAGCAGUGGGGAAUAUUGCACAAUGGGGGAAACCCUGAUGCAGCCAUGCCGCGUGUGUGAAGAAGGCCUUCGGGUUGUAAAGCACUUUCAGCGAGGAGGAAAGGUCAGUAGCUAAUAUCUGCUGGCUGUGACGUUACUCGCAGAAGAAGCACCGGCUAACUCCGUGCCAGCAGCCGCCGUAA